rnacentral:rRNA from 1 species
GUGAAAUACCUGGGCUUAACCGAGGAAGUGCAUUUGAAACUAUAAGACUUGAGUAUGGGAGAGGGUAGUGGAAUUCCUGGUGUAGAGGUGAAAUUCGUAGAUAUCAGGAGGAACACCUGUGGCGAAAGCGGCUACCUGGACCAAUACUGACGCUGAGGCGCGAAGGCGUGGGGAGCAAACAGGAUUAGAUACCCUGGUAGUCCACGCAGUAAACGGUGAUCACUAGGUGUAGCGGGUAUUGACCCCUGCUGUGCCGCAGUUAACACAUUAAGUGAUCCGCCUGGGGAGUACGAUCGCAAGGUUAAAACUCAAAGGAAUUGACGGGGGCCCGCGCAAGCGGUGGAGCAUGUGGUUUAAUUCGACGCAACGCGAAGAACCUUACCUGGGUUUGACAUCUUGGGAAUCUUUUAGAAAUAAGAGAGUGCCCCGCAAGGGGAGCCCGAAGACAGGUGCUGCAUGGCUGUCGUCANCUCGUGUCGUGAAAUGUUGGGU